rnacentral:rRNA from 1 species
GAUGAACGCUAGCGGGGGGCCUAACACAUGCAAGCCGAGCGGUAGAGUUUCUUCGGAAACUUGAGAGCGGCGCACGGGUGCGUAACACGUGUGCAACCUACCUUUAUCUGGGGGAUAGCCUUUCGAAAGGAAGAUUAAUACCCCAUAAUAUAAUGAUUGGCGUCAAUUAUUAUUGAAAACUCCGGUGGAUAGAGAUGGGCACGCGCAAGAUUAGAUAGUUGGUGAGGUAACGGCUCACCAAGUCAAUGAUCUUUAGGGGUCCUGAGAGGGAGAUCCCCCACACUGGUACUGAGACACGGACCAGACUCCUACGGGAGGCAGCAGUGAGGAAUAUUGGACAAUGGGUGAGAGCCUGAUCCAGCCAUCCCGCGUGAAGGAUGACGGUCCUAUGGAUUGUAAACUUCUUUUGUACAGGGAUAAACCUACCCUCGUGAGGGUAGCUGAAGGUACUGUACGAAUAAGCACCGGCUAACUCCGUG